AGACCAAUUAUAAAUUAUAAUACUUUCUAAAUAUUAUAUUUUUCUCAUUUAUAUGGCUAAAAGCCUAUGAAUAAAUAUGACAACUUAUCGUGAAUUUCAAGUAAUCAUGUCUACCUUUUUUUUUUUUCCAGAUGAAUCUACUUUAAUUGUUAUUUACGAAAAUGAAAACUGCUUCAGUUAUCAGGACCUAAACAACCAAAAAAUCAAGAAUUUUUAUUUUCUAGAUGGUCAUGUUGACAUGUUGUAAGAGAGAAAUUAAAAUUUUAUUUUGAUUGACACAUUCGCUCAAACAAGCGAGUAUAACAUACACACGUACG
rnacentral:lncRNA from 1 species